rnacentral:rRNA from 1 species
GACAGAGGAGCCAAGCGUUGUCCGGAUUGACUGGGCGUAAAGCGCACGCAGGCGGUCGCGCGCGUGGGGUGUGAAAACUGGCGGCUUAACUGCCAGAGGCCAUCCCAUACGGCGUGACUCGAGCCAUGCAGAGGUCCACGGAAUUGCCGGUGUAGUGGUGAAAUGCGUAGAGAUCGGCAGGAACACCCAGGGGGAAACCAGUGGACUGGGCAUGAGCUGACGCUCAGGUGCGAAAGCGUGGGGAGCGAACCGG